GUUCAAAAUACCAAUGCCUGCUAGCUGCACAAGAGGCACUACAGCAUUUUUUGUAGUUAUAUCCUGCUUAAAAUGCUCUUGUGCAAGGAGGUGAGAUAACAAUUCAGUCCCAAGUUGCUGGAUAUCUUGAGAUGGAGACUCAAGAAAGGAAAUCAGAGGCUCAAUAACCUGGCUAGGAGAAAGAUUCAGAGUUGAAAGACUUUGUGGCUUCUCUAGAAUAUUUACAAGAGUCUGCAAAGCACUGUGCUGUCCCCA
rnacentral:misc_RNA from 1 species